AUUGAACGCUGGCGGCGUGCCUAACACAUGCAAGUCGAGCGGUAACAGGUGUAGCAAUACAUGCUGACGAGCGGCGAACGGGUGAGUAAUGCUUUGGAAUCUUCCCAGUAGUGGGGAAUAACCAGUCGAAAGAUUGGCUAAUACCGCAUACGUCUGUAAAGGGAAAGCGGGGGCUCGUAAGACCUCGCGCUAUUGGAUGAGCCAAAGUCGGAUCAGCAGUUGGUGGGGUAAUGGCCUACCAAGGCGACAAUCCGUAGCUGGUCUGAGAGGACGACCAGCCACACCGGAACUGAGACACGGUCCGGACUCCUACGGGAGGCAGCAGUGGGAAUAUUGGACAAUGGGGGAAACCCUGAUCCAGCGACGCCGCGUGUGUGAAGAAGGCCUGCGGGUUG
rnacentral:rRNA from 1 species